GCACACGAAGUUAGCCAAUCGGAAACGUACUGCAAAAUGUGGGCGGGAUAUGCUUAAACAGCUGAUAGUUGUGUCUGAGGAGAGCAGUGUGGAUGGGGGAGACGACUACAAUCAGGCAUCAUGAGAUUUUUGUCAAGUCUCCUUUGGGCAGCUCUUUUGUUCAAACAGGUUUUAGGUGAAUAUGGCAUGGCACAUUUCAGCGAAUGGGGGAACACUAAAGGCAAAGAUUACUGCAUAUUCUUCAACUCUCAGUGGGCUCGAUUACCUCAGGACCUCAGUAAAGCAGCACGGCUGCAGACGUACGAUCUCACCACCUCUGUACUGUGCUCCCCCUCUGAUGUACCUGAGGGUGGCUUCCCAAACAGCAUCCCAAUGGUGAUGAGAGGAAAUUGCACUUUCUAUGAAAAGGUCCGAUUGGCCCAGAUGAAUGGUGCCAAGGGACUACUGAUCGUCAGCAAAGAUAGACUGACUCCACCCUCAGGCAACAAGUCCCAGUAUGAGGAGAUAGGCAUCCCGGUGGCCUUGCUAAGCUAUAAAGACAUGCUGGACAUCAGUAAGACGUUUGGGGAGAAACGGCAGGUGGCCAUGUAUGCGCCCAAUGAACCGGUGGUGGACUACAACAUGGUGCUUAUCUUUCUAAUGGCAGUGGGCACAGUGGCUGUCGGAGGAUAUUGGGCUGGCAGCAGGGACAUUAAAAAACGUUACAUGAAGCACAAAAGGGACGACGGUGCUGAGAAGCAAGACGAGGAGACCGUUGACGUCACCCCCAUCAUGAUUUGUGUGUUUGUGGUCAUGUGCUGCUCUAUGCUGGUGCUCUUGUAUUACUUCUAUGAUCAAUUAGUGUAUAUGACUAUAGCGACGUUCUGUCUGGCAUCUGCCGUCGGUCUGUAUAGCUGUCUUUGGCCUUUUGUCCGAAGAAUACCAUUAGGGAAAUGCAGGAUACCUGAGAAUAACCUGCCGUACUGCCACAAGCGGCCGCAGGUGCGCAUGCUGAUCCUUUCAGCCUUCUGUAUAGGAGUCAGCGUCACUUGGGGAGUUUUCCGCAACGAAGACCAGUGGGCGUGGAUACUUCAGGAUGCGUUAGGCAUCGCUUUCUGUCUCUAUAUGCUAAAAACAAUCAGACUUCCUACUUUCAAGGCCUGCACUAUGCUGCUGGUCGUGCUGUUCGUGUAUGACGUGUUUUUUGUUUUUAUAACACCACUCUUAACUGAGAGUGGGGAAAGUAUCAUGGUUGAGGUGGCGGCUGGUCCCUCUGAUUCCUCUACUCAUGAAAAGCUUCCCAUGGUGCUGAAAGUGCCCAGGUUAAAUUCGUCUCCUCUGGUCCUGUGUGACCGGCCCUUCUCUCUCCUGGGCUUUGGGGAUAUCUUGGUACCAGGUCUGCUUGUAGCAUAUUGUCACAGAUUUGACAUUCUCAUGCAGACUUCUCGAAUAUACUUUCUGGCCUGCACUGUUGGCUACGGCAUUGGUCUUCUCAUCACAUUUGUGGCUCUGGCUCUGAUGCAGAUGGGUCAGCCUGCCCUCUUGUACCUGGUGCCUUGCACGCUCCUCGCCAGCCUUGCGGUGGCACUGUGGCGCAAGGAGCUGCCUUUGUUCUGGACAGGAAGUGGAUUUGUGGUGAAUACCAGUUUGAUAUGAGUGCCUACUUCGAUUGGAAAAGUUCUAGGGUUAUGUACGGUUACUAGAAUUACACCUCCUCCAAUUGUCAUGGAACAAAUCAACUGUACUCAAACCCCAGGACCGUCCACAGAUGAACCCCAGUCCAAUCCGGAGCCGCCAGACUCUGAAACGACCAAUCAGAGCAAGGAAGAGCCUCCUCCACCAGCCCAAGUGGAAGUUCCGCAUCUUACAGAUGCAUCUACUUCAUAAAAACAAAAGACUCGAAGGAUGCUAAUAUCUUUUUCAUUUUUGAAGUCAGUUAUAUAUCUGACCAUAUAUGUAAUAGACUUGAGCAGUAUGAACAUCUCAGUGCACUUGUUUUAAGCCUUUGAAAUUGUACAGUCUGUUCGAACCGAAGAAGGAGACACAACAUCUGUGCUUCAUCCAACUUGCUUCAAGUUUACGUUUGAUGGUAUUAGGAGGGAGUCGAAGGGACAGAUUAUCUUCUUCACAAGGAUUUCAACUCUGUGUGUUCAUUUUGUUCAUCUUUUUCUUUUUUUUUCUUUUUAAAUCAACAGUAAAUGAAACAAAGUGCAGCUAUUUUAAGACAAAUGUUAUGAUAAUUCAAGACAGCUCACUGAAAAUAUUUCUAUUUGGCUUCCAGUUGAUAAUGCAUUACUGACGGGUUUUGUCCUUGUCAUGACAGCGCUGAAGUCUCACAUCCUUUAAAAUACGGUGCUAAUAAGGACCGAAUGAACCACAGGUGUCGGGAAUAAUGAUUUAUUAGUUUCAUCCCAAGUUCUGAGAUGCGAAUACUGUGAUAAGAUUAAUCGUUUAUAUUCUGGUAUGCUGUAUAAUUAAGAGCAGUACUGUUAUACAAGGCCACAUAAUUUAACAAAAUCUUCUUUAUAGGUUUGGAAUGUGAUUUCAACUUUAGCUGCAUUGAAAUCGAUCAUAUUCAUAUGCUCAUGGCUUGUUUGAAAGCAUUGUAUUUAGAAUUUGUUGUUUACUUGAUGGAAGGGACGUUUGAGAUCUUUAAAUAAAAAAUAAAGUGCAUUUUUAAAACAAGUGCAGUUUUUAAGCAUACUUUUUUUUUUUUGCCCAUCUGUUGAGUGACAGUUUUUCUGUUUUAUAGUAGGAAUUUUGUAUUCAUGGUACUUUUUAAGAAGUUGUUUUUCCAGUGUAAAGCACUGAUGUGUGUUUCUAUAUAUGAUUUAACAGUCUGAAGUUACAUCGAGUUUAUUUAAGAAGUGAAUGUCAUGCUGUUGUCUCAUUGAAAUCUUUUUGAUUUGGGUACACCUUGUGAUCAUGUGGAAUAACUUAGACAAGUUGUAAUCAUGAUCUGUUCAUUUAUUAAUAUUCCUGCAGGCUGGAGGUUGUGUCAGAUCUUCAGUCAUGUAUGCUGAUUUUGAAAAGUUGUUGAAGAGAGCACAUAUUAAAGGAAAAAUGCAUUAUGUUA